UACAGAGGGUGCGAACGUUGCUCGGAAUUACUGGGCGUAAAGCGCGUGUAGGCGGGUCGGCAAGUCAGGCGUGAAAUCCCCAGGCUCAACCUGGGAACUGCGCUUGAAACUGCCGGUCUUGAGUGUCGGAGAGGGUGGCGGAAUUCCUGGUGUAGAGGUGAAAUUCGUAGAUAUCAGGAGGAACACCGGUGGCGAAGGCGGCCACCUGGACGACAACUGACGCUGAGACGCGAAAGCGUGGGGAGCAAACAGG
rnacentral:rRNA from 1 species